rnacentral:rRNA from 1 species
GAUGAACGCUGGCGGCGUGCCUAAUACAUGCAAGUCGAGCGAACAGACGAGGAGCUUGCUCCUCUGACGUUAGCGGCGGACGGGUGAGUAACACGUGGAUAACCUACCUAUAAGACUGGGAUAACUUCGGGAAACCGGAGCUAAUACCGGAUAAUAUAUUGAACCGCAUGGUUCAAUAGUGAAAGACGGUUUUGCUGUCACUUAUAGAUGGAUCCGCGCCGCAUUAGCUAGUUGGUAAGGUAACGGCUUACCAAGGCAACGAUGCGUAGCCGACCUGAGAGGGAGAUCGGCCACACUGGAACUGAGACACGGUCCAGACUCCUACGGGAGGCAGCAGUAGGGAAUCUUCCGCAAUGGGCGAAAGCCUGACGGAGCAACGCCGCGUGAGUGAUGAAGGUCUUCGGAUCGUAAAACUCUGUUAUUAGGGAAGAACAAAUGUGUAAGUAACUAUGCACGCCUUGACGGUACCUAAUCAGAAAGCCACGGCUAACUACGUG